AUCUCUCACCACCACAUCAGAGAAGCAACUCAAAUUCAGACUCUCACCAAUUACCCGCUUCUUUUGUCUUUGUACAUGAUUUAAAAUGACCGUGAAAUUGGUUUUUAAGACUUUUGACUCGGUAAUCCUCGCCCAAUAUGGGACGAUAAUUUCAAGCAGAAAUCUUCAGCUUCUUCAAGGAAACUUCGGAAUCGAAGACGCUUUAGUUGUUGAUCGGAUUCGAGGUUCAAGGAUUAAUUCAAGAAACUCGAGAAACUCUGCCGUGGCAAGAAACUGGUGGCCAGGAUGAUGUUCAAGAAAUGCUUCCAGUUCAGUGUGUGGACGACCCGCUGCCUGAAAACGCCGUGGAGGUUUACGGAAACGAGGAAUUCCCGCUGAGAAAUCAACUAACAUGUGAAGAACCUACUCAGGACGAUGGUGACUGGUGUCCAAUUUAAAAACAUUAAAACUCUGAAAACAUUAAGAACAUACGCAAAUGCUUUAAAAAGAAUUCCCAAAUUAAACUGGUGUAGCAAAGUACAAAUUUUCAAAUUGUAGCAAAAUGUCAUUUCUUCAGUUUCGUCACAUGAAAAGAUAUCAAAUAUUUACAAACAUGUGAAGGGUGUACUCACGUUUGUGAGAUACUGUCAGAACAGGAAUCUGACACUACAGUGUAAUUAAGUGAGAGUACAGGUAUUCAAUUUCCAAUUAAUACUCCAGUAAAGAAUAAAUAAUACUUCAUUAUAAUAACAAAGUUGAAUUACUCGAGUGUUUCGCACGCGUUAAACCGAGUUUCCGUACCACCGCGUCCUUGCCUCCUCCGCACUAUUCACACUAACUCCUACUCUGGAGUUGUUAGUAGGAGGCCUGACUGGCUGGUACAACGCAGACGUUCUCACAGAAAGCUUUUAGAUUUGCAGCUGUAGUCUGUGUGCCUCCUGCUGGUAUGCAAAUGGAAGACGGACACAAUGUCGAGAGUCAAAGCAGCCAUCGAUUGGCAGCUGUCCACAGUGCCAGAACUUCUAGUAACUGUGUGAACUUUGCCAUUUAUAAUUUUUUUGUAGGCAUCAUUAAAUGCAAAUUCCUCCUUCCAUAAAUGUUAAAGAAAUGUCUCCUAAGGAAAAAAAAAAUGUCAUCGUAUCAAGAAUUAUAAAGGGGCAGCGGUUGCUUGGAGGUUACGGCUCUGGGUGACUGAUCAGAAGGUCGGGGGUUCAAGCCCCAGCGCUGCCACUGUCGGGCUCUUGAGCAAGGCCCUUAACCUUCUCUGCUCCAGGGGGCGCUGUAUCAUGGCCGACCCUGCGCUCUGACCCCAACAUCCUAACAUGCUGGGGUAUGUGAAGAAAAGAAUUUCACUGUGACCAAUAAUGUUGUUAAACAACAACUUAAAAAUCUGUUUAUUAUCAGUCUUAGUGUACACAAUUGUUAUAAAAGAAGUGACAAACCAAUCAUUUCAUUUGUUGAAACAGCUCUGUGUGAGGUGUCUUCAGUCUUCAGACACAAAUUGUGUCCUUUUUUUCUGCCAUGUGAUUGCAGUUGUACUGAGAGGAUUUCAGACGGAUAUUCAUACUUUCCUUUUCAUAUUGUAUACACUGGAUAAAUAAAGAACAAUAGUUUUUUUGUAAUAAAAUAGUUUACUAAAUAAUGAUAAUCACAGAGGGAUAUUUUUCCCUCUCAUAAUCAUAAUAGUAGUCCUGAAUGUGUCAUGGCCUCCCAGCGGUAGUUCCAUUCCAGGACCACUAGAGGGCACCCGCGGCCCCCAUGUAGAACAACUUCUUCUCUUGCAUCCCCAUGUAGAACUUCUUCUUCUGUUGUCUCCCUCAUUUUCUGUGUAACCAUACCC
ensembl:lncRNA